rnacentral:rRNA from 1 species
UGCCAGCAGCCGCGGUAAUACGGAGGGUGCAAACGUUAAUCGGAAUUACUGGGCGUAAAGCGCGCGUAGGCGGUUUGUUAAGUGGGAUGUGAGAGCCCCGGGCUCAACCUGGGAACUGCAUUCCAAACUGGCAAGCUAGAGUGUGGUAGAGGAAGGUAGAAUUUCCUGUGUAGCGGUGAAAUGCGUAGAUAUAGGAAGGAAUACCAGUGGCGAAGGCGGCCUUCUGGACCAACACUGACGCUGAGGUGCGAAGGCGUGGGUAGCGAACGGGAUUAGAUAC